CACGUAGGAGGCAAACGUUAUCCGGAUUUACUGGGCGUAAAGCGCGUGUAGGUGGUUCUGUAAGUAGGGCGUGAAAGCUCCUGGCUCAACUGGGAGAGGCCGUUCUAAACUGCAGAGCUAGAGGAUGGUAGAGGGAGGUGGAAUUCCGGGUGUAGCGGUGGAAUGCGCAGAUAUCCGGAGGAACACCAGUGGCGAAAGCGGCCUCCUGGACCAUUCCUGACACUCAGACGCGAAAGCUAGGGUAGCAAACGGGAUUAGAAACCCCAGUAGUCC
rnacentral:rRNA from 1 species